rnacentral:rRNA from 1 species
CCUACGGGGUGCAGCAGUCGAGAAUCAUUCACAAUGGGGGAAACCCUGAUGGUGCGACGCCGCGUGGGGGAAUGAAGGUCUUCGGAUUGUAAACCCCUGUCAUGUGGGAGCAAAUUAAAAAGAUAGUACCACAAGAGGAAGAGACGGCUAACUCUGUGCCAUCAGCCGCGGUAAUACAGAGGUCUCAAGCGUUGUUCGGAAUCACUGGGCGUAAGGCGUGCGUAGGCUGUUUCGUAAGUCGUGUGUGAAAGGCGCGGGCUCAACCCGCGGACGGCACAUGAUACUGCGAGACUAGAGUAAUGGAGGGGGAACCGGAAUUCUCGGUGUAGCAGUGAAAUGCGUAGAUAUCGAGAGGAACACUCGUGGCGAAGGCGGGUUCUUGGACAUUAACUGACGCUGAGGCACGAAGGCCAGGGGAGCGAAAGGGAUUAGAUACCCCAGUAGUC